rnacentral:rRNA from 1 species
AGUGAACGCUGGCGGCGUGCUUAACACAUGCAAGUCGAACGAGAACGGGAUAUAGCUUGCUAUAUUUGUCAGCUAAGUGGCGCACGGGUGAGUAAUGUAUAGAUAACCUGCCCUCUAGAAAGGAAUAACAGUUGGAAACGACUACUAAUGCCCUAUAUGCCUUUAAUACAUAAGUAUGCAAGGGAAACGCUUUAGUGCUAGAGGAUGGGUCUGGAUGGUAUCAGCUUGUUGGUGAGGUAAUGGCUCACCAAGGCUAUGACGCCUAACUGGUUUGAAAGGAUGAUCAGUCACACUGGAACUGAUACACGGUCCAGACUCCUACGGGAGGCAGCAGUGGGGAAUAUUGCACAAUGGACUAAAGUCUGAUGCAGCAACGCCGCGUGGAGGAUGACACAUUUCGGUGCGUAAACUCCUUUUAUAUAGGAAGAUAAUGACGGUACUAUAUGAAUAAGCACCGGCUAACUCCGUGCCAGCAGCCGCCGUAA